GGUGCUGGGGCGGUUAAACGUCGACGUUGCUAAGUGACCGAGCGCGCAGGCGCCGCGUCCGGUCGCCUUAAAACCCCGAUCUUUCUGGCCUGAGGUGGGGGAGGGGGUUCUCGUCUGCGUCCGGAACCCCGGGCGUGGAGGCCCCUGGGGUCCCUUGGCACCCCGCGCCGGGCCGGCUUACGUUUUACUGUGAAUGGUGGCCCCCCCGCCCCGGCUGGACGCUCGCUUCGCUGAGGCCUCGUCAGUGUGGCCCUUGGUGCCCCCGCAGCCAUAGUCCUUUCAGUCGCUUUGUUUUGUUCCCGGCCGCCCGCGGGUCCAGAUGUGACCCUGUAGGGCCGCGGCGGGGCUGGGGGCUGCGGGCUCAGCUAGAGACCCGCACCCCCGGCCCUGCAGAUCCCCCUACCCUGGGCAGUCUCCAAGCAGAGAAAGAAAGGGGGGACGUGCCGCUAAGACUCAGACUCGGGGUGCAGCCACCUCUCCAGUUGGGGUCCCUGCUGUGCGAAAGAGGGGAAGUGGGCAGUUAAUCCCAGAGCCUCAGUACUGGGUUCAGGCCCUGGGUGUGGCUGCCUUUCCCUCGUGGAGAUAAACAAGGAUCUAGCGAUGUCAUGCGGAGUCAGGACGUUGGUCUUGUAAAUAACCUUGAAAACAGCUUUGUUUGCACAGGCUGCCGACCUCUGUACCGCAGGACGCCCGGAAAUGUUAACAGAUUCGCUCUCUAGAGGUUAACUUCGCUCUCUAGAGGUUCACCACUUAUUAACAUGUAACUGAAGGAAACCUUACCUGCUUCGCCUAGCUUGAUUGAGUCAAGUUUGAUCCCCCAGCCCAAUGUGUGCUUUCUGGAAUAAAGAGCAGGUAGAGUUGAAUUUGAAGUGAACUGAAAUUCAGAAAAUGUCUGUUUUACAUAAUAUUUUAUUCUUAUUAGGCUCCAUGAGUUGAGCCUCGUUUCACCAAGCGCAGUACAUCCUGAGUCAGACAUUUUGAGGUGCAGACUGAACUAGAAUGCAGAUCUUAUGACUUCACUGGGAUCUGGGGAUUAAACUCAGGGCCUCACAUGUCAUGAACGCUAAAUGAGGGCCUGCUGCUGCUGUAUCUCCAGGGUUUCUCUGCCUUGGCUGCCCUGGACUUGCUUUGUAGACCACAAAGAUCCACCUUCCUCUGGGAGUGCUGGGAUCACCGGUGUGCGCCUCACUGGGAAACCUUUUUUGUUUUGUUUUGUUUCUGUUUUUCGAGACGGGGUUUCUCUGUGUAGCCUUGGCUGUCCUGGACUCGGUGGAACAGUCAGUGGAGCUGUUUGGAAAGCAUUAGGUGUGUGGCCUUGCUGGAAGACGUGUCUACAGGGGGUGGAUGUUGACCUUUCAAAAGCGCAGUCCAGCCCGAUCUCUCCCUCUCCUUCACUGCUUUUGAAUCAGAUGUGAGCCAAUUCUCCAGUGCCAUCCCUGCCUGCCUGCCACCAAGCUCUCUGCCAUGAAGGCCACAGACUCUAAUCCCCCCAACUGUAAGCCUCCAAUAAACGGUUACAAAUUG